CCUACGGGUGGCAGCAGUGGGGAAUAUUGGACAAUGGGGGCAACCCUGAUCCAGCCAUGCCGCGUGUGUGAAGAAGGCCCUCGGGUUGUAAAGCACUUUCAGUGAGGAAGAACGCCUGGUGGUUAAUACCCAUCAGGAAAGACAUCACUCACAGAAGAAGCACCGGCUAACUCCGUGCCAGCAGCCGCGGUAAUACGGAGGGUGCGAGCGUUAAUCGGAAUUACUGGGCGUAAAGCGCGCGUAGGUGGCUUGAUAAGCCGGUUGUGAAAGCCCCGGGCUCAACCUGGGAACGGCAUCCGGAACUGUCAAGCUAGUGUGCAGGAGAGGAAGGUAGAAUUGCCGGUGUAGCGGUGAAAUGCGUAGAGAUCGGGAGGAAUACCAGUGGCGAAGGCGGCCUUCUGGACUGACACUGACACAGGGGUGCGAAAGCGUGGGUAGAAAACAGGAUUAGAUAACCGAGUAGUC
rnacentral:rRNA from 1 species